ensembl:lncRNA
CUUUUUUCUUUUUUUUUUUUUUUUUUGUCUUUUUGCCAUUUCUUGGGCCACUCCCAUGGCAUCUGGGAUGUUCCCAGGCUAGGGGUCUAAUCAGAGCUAUAGCUGCCAGCCUACGCCAGAGCCACAACAACGCCGGAUCCGAGCCGCAUCUGCGACCUACACCACAGCUCAUGGCCACGCUGGAUCCUUAACCCACUGAGCCAGUGCCAGGGACUGAACCCACAACCUCAUGGUUCCUAGUCAGAUUCGUUAACCACUGCGCCACGACGGGAACUCCCUGGAGUAAACACAAUCUUAACCACUGUGCAGUAACAUCCUCCAAAGGUUAGAGCACAAGAUAUGGAAUCGCACAGGCCUGGAUUCAGUUUCAGACUCUACCAUUUCCUAGAGUUCCUUGCAUACGUUGUCAUAUCUUUCUAAAACGGCAUCUAUAAAACAGGCACAAUAUUUACACCUACCUCACAAGAUAUCUGUGAGAAUUAAAUGAGUUAAUCCAUACGAAGAAUGAAGCACAGUGCCUGGCACAGAGUAAGUGUUAGGUCGGUGUUUCUAUCAUUCUAUUUUCCCUACGAGUUGAGCCCUCAGGUAUAAUUUAGAAGGAAAAAGCUGAACAGAGAUGUAUAAAAUGCGAAUUAGAUGUUGGUAGGGGAGAAGAGAGAAGAGGGGGUGGGAAGUAAGUCACAGAGCAACAGGUGGGGAUUCUGAGGGAACAAGUCAGCCAGCGAGAAAUUCUGAGUGAUGAAGCUGACCAAAUAACAAUAUCAUCAACAGCAACCAACCAGUGCUUACCACCACGGGCCAGGCAAUUCUAGGUGCUUUCUACAUGGUAACUGGAAUCUCAAGAUAAUACUGUGAGAUACAUACUAUAAUUUUCCUCAUUUUAUAGGUCAAGAAAUUGGGUCCCAGGUCAAACCACUUGCCCAAAGUUCAAAAGCUUGUGACUGGUAAAACCAAGAUUUGAAAGCCCACACACAGCCUGAGUCCCAAGUUUUUGUUCUUCAUCAGUACACUAUACCAUGGAGGUCAAUUUGAGGGAAUCAAAAAUUUUAGGAUUUAAGAAAAUUAUGCAGGAGUUCUCACUGUGGUGUAGCAGGUUGAGGAUUCAGUGUUGUCUCUGUAGCGGCCUGGGUCGCUGCUGAGGCGUGGGUUCGAUCCCUGGCCUGGCACAGUGGAUUAAGGAUCUGGCAUUGCCGCAGCUGUGGCACAGGUCACAGCUGCAGCUCCGAUUUGAUCCCUGAUGCAGGAACUUCCAUAUGCCAUGGGUGCAGCCAAAAAAAGAAAGAAUAUCAUCCAAAAUGGGGACCAAGAUUUCUGCAGAAAUAUAUCCCAUCACAGUAUUAUUUAUUUAUUGAAUAUCUGUUAUUGCCAGGAGCUGCUUUUGAUAUUUACACAUACCAUUUAAUUCUCACAGAAACCUUAUGAGAUAGGAACUGUCACCCCCUUUUUAGAUGAUAAAUUUGAAAUUAAGUAAUUUACCCAGGGCUACACAGCUAGUAAGCAGAAUCAAGGUGGGAAUUCAAGAAAUGAUAAAGAUUCAAUUCCUGGCCUUGUUCAGUGGGUUAAGCAUCCGGUGUUGCUGUGAGCUGUGAUGUAGGUCACAGGUGCAGCUUGGAUCUGGUAUUGCUGUGACUGUGGUGUAGGUCAUGGCUACAGCUCUGACUCAACCCCUCGCCUGGGAACCUCCAUAUGCCAUGGGUGUGGCCCUAAAAAAACAAAAAAAUUUAAACAAAGAAAAGAAACAAUAAAUGAUAAACAAAAUGAAAAGACAACCCACAGAAUGGGAGAAAGUAUUUCCAAAAGAAGCAGCUGACAAGGGAUUAAUCUCCAAAAUAUACAAACAACACAUGCAGCUCAAAAUUAAAAAAACAAACUACCCAAUCAAAAAAAUGGGCAGAAGAUCUAAAUAGACAUUUUUCCAAAGAAGACAUCCAGAUGGAAAAAA